CAAAAAAGGGCAAGAGGAUCAGAGGAGUUACCGUGAUCCAUUGUUGUUCUCUAUCUUAAGUUUUUAUUUCUCUCUCUAGAAUUUUCUAUCUGCUCGUCCUUCCUCACAAAUUAGGGUUUUUGCGAAUCUCUUGUUAGUCUGUAAUCGAAUCGUAGCCAUGGUUUCCGAUUCAAUCUCUGCCGUGCCGAUUCCCUCCGCCGCAAACACUAAGAACCCCGGGAAGAAGAAGAGGACUAACAGGUCUGCAAAAUUGAAGCAGUAUAAAAUUGAUGCGCGCCGCGAACAGUGGCUUUCGCAAGGUGUGGUGAAGAAUAAGGGAUGCAAGGACGGUGUGGACGAUGGCGUCGUUCACGCGCCGCCGCAGUCGGUAAAUCACGGCAAGCACUCCUUGGAGCCUCUUAACACGAGGCGCGAAGGCGAAGAAGACGACGAAUUGAUUCAUCAUGACAGCGAUUCGGAGUCUCCUACCAACUGUCCCGCCGGCGUAUUGUGUGGCAAUGAUUCGGGAACAAACUUCACCGGAAGCAGUAGUGGCGGGAGCAGCAGCAGCAGCAGUUCAAGCAGCGGUGGGUGCUGUUCCGGGAACAUUACCGAGGAGGAGGAGGAGGAAGAAGAAGGUGAGGACGAGGAUGAUGGUUGCUUGGAUGAUUGGGAGGCCAUGGCAGAUGCUUUAGCCGCCGAUGACAAGCACGAAAUUCCUUGUUCUGAUUCACCCCCUGUGGUUUUGCCUCGUGAAGGAUCCAAUUUAGAGUCUCCGAAUUCAAAACCCGAGAGUAGUAGAUUGGUUCCUUGGGGCUCUGGUAGUAGCCGAGCAUGGAGGGCCGAUGACGCCUUUCGCCCUCAGAGUUUGCCCAAUUUGUCUAAGCAGCACAGUAUGCCGAACCCUGAUCGCCGCUGUGUUGGAGGGGUCCCCUGGGCUCGUGUCUCCACGCCUUCCUCGUGUCCUAUUUGCUGUGAGGAUCUGGAUUUGACGGACACCAGUUUCUUGCCUUGUUUCUGUGGGUUUCGGCUUUGCCUCUUUUGCCACAAGAGGAUUCUGGAGGAGGAUGGGCGUUGUCCCGGUUGUAGGAAGCCUUAUGAGGGUGAACCAGUUGAGACAGAGGCGAGUGUGCAUGGAGGCAACCUCACUCUUCAGUUGGCACGUUCCUGCAGCAUGAUCGAGAGGUCUUGAGCCCGCGUUUUUAUCGUCUUUGAAUGAUACUUUGAUUUAUGAGUGGGAAGGGAGGGGCGACGACGUAAGGGAAAGAAGGGGGAAGCAAGGGAUAAUAAAAUCCACCCAAAUGUUGGAGGGCAUUUGAAGGUGAUAUGUUGUCCCUCUCAUCUUCCUUUCCUCCAUUCCUCACCAACCAAUAUUAAUGUUACAUUGUCUCUGUUUAUAAGUCACUAAAGUUUUUCAAAAGCUAAUUUUAAUCAUUUAACUGGCUUGUAAAUUGUUUCCGUCCAUGAAGGAUGGCACAAAAGUGCUUGUAGUUUAUAAUGUUUGCUACUUUGUUCUAGCCUUUCACUUCAUUUGACAAAUCUGUUAUGCAAAAUUAUAAUUUGUUAAAUAUGGCUGCAACAUUUUGUUACUGGAACAUCUUUGCACAAAUAAGAUAUAUGCCAUUGUUAUAGCUUGGUUCUCCUUUUUCCUAUACCCAAUUCUAUGCUCACAUGAAAGAGAUUUUUUACAUCCAUUUUUUAUGACUUAAAAUUGUAAAUACAGCUUUUUUCAUGGCAUUUGAACAUUUAUUUUUGUUGUUUCCAAUUGAUCAUCUUUUAGGAACAGAUAAUAUACCGGUGUUAAAUGUAAGUAUGAAGACAGGUUAAUAGUGUUUUCAAGUUUUUCAAGGUAUGGGAAUAUUUUUAUGGCAUUGUUGUGCAUUGAUCUUAUAGGUUUGAUUCAGUUUCGGUCAAAGAAUAAUUUGUCCUUCCUGCUUCCUUGGGGUUCAAAUAAGUGGUACAUGACUGGUCUACCAUUGAUUUCAAUCAACUACCAUCCGGUCAUCAUCUUCACUCCUUGUAAUCUUUCAAAAUUGUUACUGGUUUGGGGUUUGUUGUAGUGUAGACAAUGGAACUGAUCACAUGAAAGGUACUAAUAAAUAUUUGUCGAUGCCUUGUGAGCUAUGGUUAUACAAUCUGUACUUGUAUUAUGUUAAAUGCUUCAUUUGGGAAGAGUUGAUCUUAUGAGAAAUAUGAACCACCUUCUUA